rnacentral:rRNA from 1 species
AGCGAACGCUGGCGGCAGGCCUAACACAUGCAAGUCGAGCGGAGCGGCGGACGGGUAAGUAAUGCCUAGGAAUCUGCCUGGUAGUGGGGGAUCACGUCCGGAAACGGGCGAUAAUACCGCAUACUAUAAGAUGAGUCUAGGUCGGAUUAGCUAGUUGGUGGGGUAAAGGCCUACCAAGGCGACGAUCCGUAACUGGGCUGAGAGGAUGAUCAGUCACACUGGAACUGAGACACGGUCCAGACUCCUACGGGAGGCAGCAGUGGGGAAUAUUGGACAAUGGGCGAAAGCCUGAUCCAGCCAUGCCGCGUGUGUGAAGAAGGUUUUCGGAUUGUAAAGCACUUUAAGUUGGGAGGCGUUACCAACAGAAUAAGCACCGGCUAACUACGUGCCAGCAGCCGCGGUAAUAC